GUAACGGUUUUCCUUCCUUGCGCAAACAUAUUAAACGCAUAUUUGAUUGAGAAUUGCCUACAUAAGCACAUAUGUUACAGAAUGUGUCACAACUUCUCCAGUUGACCGAAUAGACGCAAGAUGGCAAACUUUUCAACCCUGCUCAGAAAAUUAGUUGUAUUCAUGAUGCUUGUGUCAAUGGUAUUUCUCGGAAUAGAAUCUAUGGCCUCUAGACGAAGAAGACACAUGGGCUGAGAAUUACGCCGAAGUAGAUUCAACAUGCCGCUUCAUUAAUCUUCGUUAUGAUUGGCAAUAUCGUGCUGUGAUGUUAUUUAUUAUUCGUGGCAAAACUAUACGGCAAAAUCAAUUGAAUAAAAUGUCAUAAUACAUUGCAGUAAGAAUUAUUUAUUUGGUCUGAUUGUUGGCUAGGAAAUGAGGUUUUCAAACGUUGAAGCCCAGCCCGGUAAAUUUUAAAUCGCACGAGUAUCAUUUGGGAUGGCAUCAAACUGUGCAAUUUAAAGGAAUGAUUUCAAAACACACUUCCUAAAUGUUAUACAGUAUUCUAUAGUCUAUCUAUAGUAUAGUAUAUGCACAUGGUCUUUUAUAUCCUUAUGCGAUCUUACAAAAUAUCACGCUAUUAUUUUUACUUGCAAGUGUUUCAUUUUAUGUCAAUUUUUUGACAAGUUCCUUCCUUUGCUAAUCUUUUCUCCAGUCUGAUAGAUUUAUAUUUUUAGUUCGAGUUCCACAACGAUUCAUUCAAUCAAAGUUUGAAUUACUUUUUUGAUUUUUGUUCUUAUCGAAAAUUGACUCAAAAUGUCUAGUACGCCACAUAUGCCACAGAAGCAGUACAGAGUUUUCAGCGGAUACGAAGUGGGGACAAUAAUAUAAUAAGUGCUGACGAUUCUGUCUUCAUCAAACAAAUAGUUAUGUUUUAUUCUGUGGGGGGCCUUUUCUGCUGUGGCCUCUACUUUGAAGCAUAAUAAAAAAAAAAACAAUCUAUGACAUUAACACAUGUCUCAGAACAGAAAUUGCAACGAAACAUUUCAGGUUUUCAUUAUGAUGUAGUUAUUAUAACAAUGUUAUAUUUAGUUAAAGUUUUGUCCCCCCAACCGCUUUAAAAUCCAGCAAAUGUAUUUCAUUGGCAGUUAAAGCUUUUUGUAUAAUCUCAAAACAACGACUAAGAUGUAGGAGAAAUCAUACACCUAUACUAUCCAACGCCAUAAAUAUAUACAAAUACUUAUCAGUCGCUCUGAUAAAAUUUUCAACAAAAAUUGGAUUCUUAAAAAAAUUAAAUAAAGUUUUUAUUCAAUUCAUUCAACACCCCUAAAUCGACAUUGUCACCAAGAAUAGGCAAGUCAUAUUAUAUUAUUCACGCAUGACAAUGCAAGUCGUUGUUGAGAAGCGCUAAACUAGACUAAACUACUGGAUGGUGCAACUGCAAAGUUGUAAGUUCCCAGGAGGAAAAACAAAUACUCUUUUCCCCUGGAAAUUUGAGUUUCAGAAUCAUAAACCGUAUUUUUUGAACCGUAACAUACAGGCAUGCAAGCACAGAGAUUAAGAAUGAAUUCAUCGUUCGUCCUUCGAAUAAUUGACCUAUUUGCCCCUCUGGAGCCAUGAAUAGUACUGUAAAGUAACUAUGUCAUAAAAUUAUCUUUAUUUUUACAAUGGUCACAAUCUUAUAGAUAAAUAAACAUUGCCUGUGUUAUUAUACCACCCGAAAAGUUUUUUUUCCAAAUUUGAAAAAAAAAACGGCUCAUAUCAGCCUUUUGAUUGGUCGUCCAGCGCGCCGUGAAAACUGAUCAAUAACAGAUUGCGAAACUUUAUUUGGCAUCAUGACAUACAAGCCACAUCAACGGUUCGAGCUGAAAGUCAUGUAGUCGACUUAUUAUAAUGAUAUCCUGUGUAACGAGUUUCCUUCCUUGAACAACAAAAACAUAUUAAAUGCAUAUUUGAUUGAUUGAGAAACGCGUACAUAAAUAUGUUAUUAUAAACAUGUUGCCACCACUUCUCCAGUUAACCGAAGAGACGCAAGAUGGCAAAAUUUUCAACCCUGCUCAGAAAACUAGUUGUAUUCAUGAUGCUUGUGUCAAUAGUUUUUUUCGGAGUAGAAUCUAUGGCCUUUAGACGAAGAACGUUUCGUCAAAGCACAAUCAGAAUGGCGCUUCAUUAAGCUUCUUGGAAAUCUUGAAUGUCGUACUGUGAUGUUAUUUAUCAUUCAGAGCAAAACUAUAAGCAAUAAACAAAUGAAUAAAAUACCAUAACCAUUGCAA